rnacentral:rRNA from 1 species
GACCGGCCACACUGGGACUGAGACACGGCCCAGACUCCUACGGGAGGCAGCAGUGGGGAAUAUUGCACAAUGGGCGAAAGCCUGAUGCAGCGACGCCGCGUGAGGGAUGACGGCCUUCGGGUUGUAAACCUCUUUCAGCAGGGACGAAGCGUAAGUGACGGUACCUGCAGAAGAAGCGCCGGCCGACUACGUGCCAGCAGCCGCGGUAAGACGUAGGGCGCGAGCGUUGUCCGGAUUUAUUGGGCGUAAAGAGCUCGUAGGCGGCUUGUCACGUCGACUGUGAAAACCCGCAGCUCAACUGCGGGCCUGCAGUCGAUACGGGCAGGCUAGAGUUCGGUAGGGGAGACUGGAAUUCCUGGUGUAGCGGUGGAAUGCGCAGAUAUCAGGAGGAACACCGGUGGCGAAGGCGGGUCUCUGGGCCGAUACUGACGCUGAGGAGCGAAAGCGUGGGGAGCGAACAGGAUUAGAUACCCUGGUAGUCCACGCUGUAAACGUUGGGCGCUAGGUGUGGGGGACCUCUCCGGUUCUCUGUGCCGCAGCUAACGCAUUAAGCGCCCCGCCUGGGGAGUACGG